UACUGGAGUAACCUCUAACGAAGAAGUGACAUCAAUGGCGGCCUCCGGCUUCUACAUGUGUUGUUUUUUCUGAUCACUUUCACGGGACAAUUCGCGAUAAACACGUAACCAAUAAAUAAAUAUUAUCUGCACAGCUAGAUAUACCUCACUAAUGAAAUGAAGGCAAAGGCGCAGCGCAAGGGCAGAGGGAAAGCUGAAAAGCAAGCAAACAGGGACAAACUGCAGAAGUUUAAGGAUUCGGUUAAAGACUUCGUGAAGAGCAAAGGCGGCUUCGGUGAAAAUGAAACGGACCAAAGAGGAUUAUUCGUAAAGAGGAAAAGCAGGAAAGAGCUGCGCAAAGAGAAACGUAAGUUAAAGAAAGCCAAAAAGAAGUGCCACCACAUGGGUCCGUCCCUGCAGAGCCCCAGCGAGGAGCCCGCUCCAGAAACCCCCGAAAAGACACAGGAACCGGCCCUGAAGACCACCGGGAACCUUAAAAAGACCGCUCAGAAACAGCAGGAGGCAGGUAAAGACACUGUUAAUAACGAAGAAGGGACCACAAAAAGGAAAGUGCGCUUCUCCGAAGACCUGCCAAAACAAAGAAAGAAGUCUAGUCUGAACGAGGGCAGAAAGCGGUCUCUGUUAGAGGCCAAUAUCGAAGAAGACAAAGAAAUAAAGAGGUUGGAGAAACGCCUUGGGAUGAAUAAAAGAAAGAACAAAAGUAGUCUGCCCCUGUCGUUCACCAACGAUGGGCUCGAUUACAUUUUAGGGAUUCUUGAGCCUGGGGCGUCUGCCACGGGGCUGUAUGAGAGUGAUGAAGAAAUGGACCUCGAUGGAGCUAAGGGUGACUUUGAUGAGCUGGACGAGGACAGCGACGGGCAGAUGACAGAUGAUGAGAACCAGGAAGAGAGUGAGGGUGAAGAGGAGAGAGACGGAGGGGAUGAGGAUGCACAGACGGGAGAAGAGGAAGAUGUAGAAGAUGACAACCAGAUAGAAGAUGAGGUGGAAGGAGAAGGAGAAGAGGAAGAGGCCGAUGCAUCAGAGGAAAGUGAUGAUGGGGAGGAAGCUGACUCUGAACAUGAAACACCUGAAAGCCAGGAGCCUAGUCCUACCGCAGCAGGUAAAUAUGUUCCCCCUCACUUACGAGAAACCAUGGACAGCAAACGCAGAGCUGAGCUGGAGAAACUGAGGCGCACUGUGAAAGGUCUGAUGAACAGAUUGAGUCAGCCCAACAUGGCAUCCAUCAGCGGUCAGCUGGAAGAGCUGUACAUGAGCACCAGCAGGAAAGACAUGAACGAAACGCUCACUGACGUUCUGCUGGCUGCCUGCGUCACACCUGCUCUCAUGCCCGAAAGGCUUUUAAUGGAGCACAUCCUUCUUGUCAGUGUCCUUCACUAUAGUGUUGGCCUGGAGGUUGGAGCUCAUUUUCUGGAGACUGUAGUCCGUCGGUUUGAUAAAACCUACAGUCAGCUUGACGCUACGGACAAAGAAUGUGACAACUUGGUGUCCAUGCUCGCCCACCUCUACAACUUCCACGUGGUCCAUGCUCUCCUGGUGUUUGACAUUCUGAAGAAGCUGGUGACACGAUUCAGCGCGAAGGACGUAGAACUGGUUCUGCUGGUGCUGAAGAACGUUGGCUUCGCUCUCAGAAAGGAUGAUCCGCUAGCUCUUAAGGAGCUGAUCUCUGAGGCUCAGCGGAAAGCCGGCGCUGAAGGAGAGCGUUUUCACGACCAAACGAGGAUUCGGUUUAUGUUGGAGACUAUGCUGGCGCUAAAGAACAAUGACAUGAGGAAGAUUCCAGGUUAUGACCCUGAACCUCUGGAGAAUUUAAGAAAACUGCAAAGGACUUUGAUUCACAACAGCGCCAGUGGAAGUGACAUGAAGCUGAGAGUCUCGCUAGACAAUCUUCUGGAAGCGGAGCGUGUUGGCCGUUGGUGGAUCGUAGGAUCUUCCUGGAGUGGAGCACCCAUGAUCGAUGACCAAGAAAACAAGACGACUACCCCAUCCGCCAAAGGGGAACAAUACAGUGCAAAGAUGUUGGAGCUUGCACGUAAACAAAGAAUGAACACUGACAUCAGGAGGAACAUUUUCUGUGUGCUUAUGUCAAGUGAAGACUAUUUAGAUGCCUUUGAGAAACUUUUAAGGUUAGGAUUGAAGGACCAGCAAGAGCGGGAAAUUGUUCAUGUUUUGAUGGACUGCUGCCUGCAAGAGAAAAUGUUCAAUAGGUUCUAUGCGGUUCUGGCAGAGAAGUUUUGCUCCCAUGACCGGCGGUUCCAGAUGACUAUGCAGUUCAGUCUGUGGGACAAGUUCAAAGACCUGGCAAAUCUUUCCAGCCGGUCCUUCAGUAACCUGGUCCUGCUGGUCACUCAUCUUCUACACAGGAAGUGUCUGUCUCUUUCCAUUCUUAAGGCGAUUGAGUUUGGGGAGCUGGAUAAACCCAAAGUCAAAUUUUUGAAGCAGGUUCUCACAAAAAUUCUUAAGGAAACUGAGCCAGAAGAUCUUGUGAAUAUAUUUGGCAGGAUCUCUGGAAUCCCCAAGCUGGGAAUGCUUCGGGAAGGCUUGAAGCUUUUCAUCAGCCACUUUCUGCUUCGGAACAUCCAGACUGAAGAAACCGAGCAGGCCAAGGUACUCAAGGAUAGAGCUGAGGUCGCCGCCAGAGCCAUGGAGGCCCGGGAUGCCAAAAUUAAGCUAUAGAGCUCUUGCACAAAGAAAUGUGUGCAUAAUGCAUCGGACUCAAAAAGUGAGAAUUGCUAUUCAAAAGCCAAAAACAUGCCUCAAGCAGAAAAAGAUAAUAACAUAAUUCUUUCCCUGCUCAUUAAUUUCUUAUGCACACAUUUAGUUUCGAUUCAUCCUCUGACUUUUAUAAUCAGUGUCUUACACCGUAUAAACAAUGCUGUAUGAACCUCAUUCAGAAAGAGCACAAGGAUGCGUUGCUCUCUGAAAGGUAGGUUGACUGCAGUCCUCUGGAGUAUCUGCACAUGCAGCAGUGCUCCGGACAAGAGUCACGUGACCGACUAGCAUAACAUAGCAGAGGGUUACCGUUACAUUUGAUGUCCUUUGUUAAUUCAUUAGCAACAUCGACAUCAUGGAGUGACCAUCAUCUAGGGGUCAGGCAGCGGAAACAUCACCCUCGCAGAUCCACAACAAAAGAGCUAACCGUUUCAUUAAAUCUGAUUGAUUAAACCUUAUUGCGUGCCUCAAUGUCACCUCACACAGACUGUCACAUUAGAACCUGUAACGACGACACAACAGUCUGGCUGGUUUUUUCUCACAGUUUCAAAGCUGGUUACCUACAGAUGCCCCGCUUUUACACCCUUUGACAAAGACAACAUUGUCACCACAUGUGAAGAGAAGCGUAUAAUGGGGGUCCAGCCCACUAAGAUAAACACAGGUGAUUGUAAAGAGUGUGUGCCAUUGUCUGUCCGCGUGAGACCAGAGGAAGGUUGAUGCUGACCCCAGUUUGAACUGGUAAUAGGAAGUAAAGUUGUCUUGCAACUGAUAAGGCCACCGUUAAAGCACUGUUUGUGAGGAUAUCGCAUGUUCCUAAUGCGAAGACCAUGGGACUUAGUGUUUUGUUUUUUAAUUCAAUGUUGGCUUGAUCUUUCACGUCUUCAUGUGCAGGAGUCUCAGGUUUAUCCGGGGUUUAUGAUGCAUUUAUGUCUCACCUUUCACUCGUCUCAUCCAGGCCUUCACGUAAGUGUCCCACCCUGCUCACUUGUGUGUGGUUUCUUUCCCGAUCAUUAAAGGCUGGCGGUAGCACUGAUAAGGUCGAGUUCUUUGUACUUGUGCAGCUGGGUAAACGUACAGGUAUGGGGUAAAUUAGGCAUUAGUUAAAUCAGGAACUGUUUUUCUAAAUGUACUACUUUUUUAAGGCCAGAUCAAUUCUGUAAUUAAAUUUAGUGUUGCAUUUAUUUAAACUUUUUUCAUAUUUAUGGCAGUAGUUGUUAUAACAUUCUAACCUAUUACUACCCCGCUAGCCUUUUAGAAUUCAAGAGUAAAGCAAAGGUUAACAGAUUAGCCGUGAUUUUUAGUUUCUGCACGAUUCGCUCAGUCGCUUAACAGGACUGGUAAAUUGUUUUAGACUGAUUAAAAGGGGUUCCGCAGCUUAUUAUGCUA